rnacentral:rRNA from 1 species
AACGGCGAGUGAAGCGGCAAAAGCUCAAAUUUGAAAUCUGGCUUCGGCCCGAGUUGUAAUUUGUAGAGGAUGUUUCGGGCACCGCCCCGGCGUAAGUCCCUUGGAACAGGGCGUCAUAGAGGGUGAGAAUCCCGUCUGGCGUCGUGGUAGGGCCCAUGUGAAACUCCUUCGACGAGUCGAGUUGUUUGGGAAUGCAGCUCAAAAUGGGUGGUAAAUUUCAUCUAAAGCUAAAUACUGGCCAGAGACCGAUAGCGCACAAGUAGAGUGAUCGAAAGAUGAAAAGCACUUUGAAAAGAGAGUUAAACAGUAUGUGAAAUUGUUGAAAGGGAAGCGCUUACAACCAGACUUGAGCCCGUCGGUUCCCCCUCGCUUCUGCGUGGGCUACUCCGGCGGGUCCAGGCCAACAUCGGUUCGGGUGGCUGGUCAAAGGCCCCGGGAAUGUACCUCACCUUCGGGUUAGGCUUAUAGCCCGGGGUGUCAUGCGGCCUACCUGGACCGAGGAACGCGCUUCGGCUCGGAUGUUGGCGUAAUGGUUGUCAGCGACCCGUCUUGAAACACGGACCAAGGAGUCGAAGAGCUAUGCGAGUGUUUGGGUGUCAAACCCGUACGCGUAAUGAAAGUGAACGGAGGUAGGAAGCUUCGGCUGCACUAUCGACCGAUCCUGAUGUUCUCGGAUGGAUUUGAGUAAGAGCAUAACUCUCCGGACCCGAAAGAUGGUGAACUAUGCCUGAAUAGGGUGAAGCCAGAGGAAACUCUGGUGGAGGCUCGCAGCGGUUCUGACGUGCAAAUCGAUCGUCAAAUUUGGGUAUAGGGGCGAAAGACUAAUCGAACCAGUAGCUGGUUCCUGCCGAAGUUUCCCUCAGGAUAGCAGUAACGUUUUCAGUUUAUGAGGUAAAGCGAAUGAUUAGAGGCCUUGGGGUUGAAACAACCUUAACCUAUUCUCAACUUUAAAUAUGUAGAAGUCCUUGGUACUUAGUGACGUGGACAUUUGAUG